rnacentral:rRNA from 1 species
GACGAACGCUGGCGGCGUGCCUAAUACAUGCAAGUAGAACGCUGAAGAGAGGAGCUUGCUCUUCUUGGAUGAGUUGCGAACGGGUGAGUAACGCGUAGGUAACCUGCCUUGUAGCGGGGGAUAACUAUUGGAAACGAUAGCUAAUACCGCAUAACAAUGGAUGACACAUGUCAUUUAUUUGAAAGGGGCAAUUGCUCCACUACAAGAUGGACCUGCGUUGUAUUAGCUAGUAGGUGAGGUAAUGGCUCACCUAGGCGACGAUACAUAGCCGACCUGAGAGGGUGAUCGGCCGCACUGGGACUGAGACACGGCCCAGACUCCCACGGGAGGCAGCAGUAGGGAAUCUUCGGCAAUGGGGGCAACCCUGACCGAGCAACGCCGCGUGAGUGAAGAAGGUUUUCGGAUCGUAAAGCUCUGUUGUAGGUCAAGAACGGGUGUGAGAGUGGAAAGUUCACACUGUGACGGUAGCUUACCAGAAAGGGACGGCUAACUACGUG